CCAGUUCCAAUGGAGUUUUGGCCAACAACAGAACUCCAGAUGUCCAUUGCUGCUGAGGAAAAGAAAGGUGUGGGAGAGAAUAAGACCAACGGCUCACUUGUUGCCCCUGAGAAACCUAUGCUGCCUCCCAGUGUCAAAUGUUAUGGCAAAGAUGAAGAGCCGAGGUUUGAAAAGGUUAAGCAGGAAACUCCAGCCAAAAGUAUCAAACCAGAAUGCAUAUCUUUGGAUGAAACAGCCACCGGAGCAAAGCAUGGCCAAAUAUAUACUUUUUAGAAUCACCAAACACCAACAAUUGAAUCAGUCCCUUGUGGUUUUCAUUUUGAGGAAACGGAAGGCGUCAUACAGAGUGAAUUCAACAGCUCACAUGUUUCCUCCGCCAAACCUAUGGAGCUUCUGAAAGAGCCCGAGACUCCAAAAAGGGCAGAGUCUCCAAGAAUUCAUAGUGAUGAAAAACAGACAUUCGAAAAGUUUAAGAAGCAGGAAUUUGCAUUGAGAAAUGUUAAACCAGAAUGUGUAUCUUGGGAUGCAUCUGCAGCCACAGCAAAGGUUCUAGAAUACAAAGAGCACGUUUCAGCCGGUAGUUCACCAUAAAGGACAAACAGCGAGGAGAUUGAACAUGCCCGAGAGAAAUCAAAUUUAGCGACUGCAUUGGCCAGACCAACCACCAAGAACACAAAAAGUUCCACAAAUCCUCCACUUCUUAAUCUUGUGAACGUGCUCGUCGGGAUUUUCCUGUUGAUCGCCAUCACUGCUAUUUUCACUACUAUUUUGCCCCAAGUGUGAUACAGCAUCAUUGACAAGUACAAGAGUAAAAAAUAAUUCUGUAUGUUGUGUAAUAAUUCAUGAUGUAUAGAGCUAGUCUUCCUUUUGAUGCCAAUGCUUUGUAGUUUGUACUUAAUUUUGCUUUAACAGAAUUGGAAGAUCUAAUUAGAUGUGCGAC